UACGUAGGGGGCAAGCGUUAUCCGGAUUUACUGGGUGUAAAGGGGGCGCAGACGGCGAUGCAAGCCAGGAGUGAAAGCCCGGGGCCCAACCCCGGGACUGCUCUUGGAACUGCGUGGCUGGAGUGCAGGAGGGGCAGGCGGAAUUCCUGGUGUAGCGGUGAAAUGCGUAGAUAUCAGGAGGAACACCGGUGGCGAAGGCGGCCUACUGGACUGCAACUGACGUUGAGGCCCGAAAGCGUGGGGAGCAAACAGG
rnacentral:rRNA from 1 species